CUUCGAUGGGGAUUUUCAAGGAGAUGAUUAUAUGGGUAAUCGGAGGAGGUUUCGAGGAAAUCGGAAUUGGAUUAGACGGAGAAAUUGCAGAGAGGAAAGGGAAUGUAUUUCCUCCACACAGAGGUUACAGUCAAAGCAUGGAGUCUAUCAGAAGCACGACACUGCUGGUGAUUGUUAACGGUGAGUAACUUUUGAAUAUGAGGUUCAACUUAUUAGUAUAUAGUUUAACGUCGCUGUCGAGUGGAGGAAAUAUGUGGACAAAUGGGGAUUUUUCUGCAGCUUAAUUAGUAAUUUAGUAGUAUGUGUUUGGCUCUGCCUUUCACAUGUGCUAGGGUUUGUUUUUAUAUAAAUUCCAAACCACUUGGACUGAAUGAGGAAACCAGAGUAGCAUAAGAAAUAGGAAAGGUGGUUUCAUCCAAGAAAGAAGAGGUAAAGUUUGGGAAUUUAAAAUUUGACUAAAAACAGGUUGUGUCUGUGUUGCUUGUUCUGUAGACAAUCUUCUGUUGGGGUGUGUUUGGAUACAUUGAUUUGUUUAUAUAUGUCAUAUGAUAAUAUAUAUCUCUUGACGGUAUUGUGUAGUUUAAAUUCUCAUAAGAAAUCGUUGAUUUCUUAUCAUUUGAGAGCAUACAAUGAUGUGAACUACAGUAAUGAUUGCUCCUUGGUGAUUUGUAUGCUUGUCCAAGCUGCUCCUCCGAAUUCUCCUCUAAUCCCCGAUCUCUGUCGAAGCUACAGCCUUACUUGCGGCAAUUCAGCUUGCUGGGCUAGCGCCUGCCCCUACUCUUAUUCGAUGUGAUUGUGCUCCUUUGAUAGCAUCUCUUACCAAAGACUCCCUCAGCUGGCCUUUGGAAUGUGCUUCGUUAAUUGCCGCAAUCACUGGCCUCCUCAGUUCUUUCCCAUGGGUUGAUGUUCGAUAUAGUCCAAGAUCAGCAUUCAGGAUGCUAAUGCAGUUGCAAGGGAAACGAGUCUAGGAAUGUUGGAGCCACACUGGCUAACCAACCCUAUAAUGUUGCUGUCCUUUUGUAGCAAUAUUCCUAAUCUCUUUUGUUUCCAUGUAAACUUUCCUCUCCUUAUGCAAUGUAUAAUGACCGUGGGAAUGCUCUAAAAGAAGACUUAUGCACAGUCA
rnacentral:lncRNA from 1 species